GUUUUCCUGGAGGCCCGGAGCCAGAGAGGGUCGGAACCUGCGGGCGGGGCGCUCCCUAUCCCCCUACUCAGGCUGGGACUCGGGAAGCGUCCGGCCCUCCGAGGAAGCCUGACUCCAAUGGAGCUUGGGGUAAAGAUGAAGCAGAGGAGAGGCGGCCUGAGGGGAGCAGAACAACUUUGAUUUUUACUUAACUCGCUCUCGUCUCCUCGCUCCCCUUCCCCAAAACAACUUUCUCUUCCGGGGUCAGGCAGGACCGCCCCCGAAGCGUACCUUGCGCUCCAUGGGCGCCCGGAGCUAUGAGAUUCGGUGUGAUUUUUGAGGUUCCCCGGUUGCCAGCAACCCCAGAAAUGAGCGGGCUGCCCCCAGCCCCGCACCGCGCCGGGGCCUCGACCGUGCCCUCUGGUCCGCGGGCACCGCCUGCAGGCUGUGUAACCUGGGCGCACAUCUUCUGGAUGUUUGUUUAUUGUUUAUACACUAACAGGAAGUCCCUCUCCCCAUUACGUCAAAAGCAGAGAAGUCAGAAUCUGUAAGGUUCUCAUUGGCAUGGAUGCACCCCAUCGGGAGUCCAAACGCAAAAACGAGGUAGCAAAGCCAUUCUGACCAGUGGGGUGGUAUCUCCUUGUAGUUUUGAUUUGCAUUUCCCUGAUGAGUCUCCUCCUCUGAAAGGACAUCUGGAAGUUGCUCCCUUUGGUCUUCCUUCUGUCCUCCCUUCAGGAUGCUCAGGAUACUACUCUGCCCUUCCCUGGGGCUCCCAGCCUCAUCUCAGAACAAGAGAGUGAGAUGCCCCAGCCUCUGAAGUUCCUUCUUGGCUUCAUUCUGGACGUUGGUUGGCCGCCCCUCCUCUGCUUCCUCAUGAAGUAUGUGUGAUGAUGCUUCUCCAGCCUGCUCUACACUCCCCUGUCCCCUGGGAGGGCUUUGGACCUGGAAGCCAACCCUAAGAGGCUGCAUCAGUUCACUGAGAACCAUUUGGACCACAGCGACCUUGAAAUAACCACAGAGCCAAAGCCAAGAUGAUAAGGAACACUGAAAAACAAAGAGAGAAAAAAAAAAAAGAGCAAGAAAUCUCUAACCUAAAGGGCCAGUGCUCCUCUGAGAAAAGUAAGAAUGAAAUUGUUAUGGAAGCUGGACUGGAUCUCCUAAGGGAAGAACCAAGCGGCACCUGGAGAUCUUGGAGGUUAGGAGGUUUAUUUAACGCUGGCGGGCUCAGAGGAGAGUGGUCUCUCCAAAGUUCUGAGCCUCAAGCACAAACAAAGGGGGUAAUUUAUACACUUCUACUUCCGCAUACUGGGCACUUUUGGCGUGUGCGCGAAGCGGGGCAGGAAGAAGAACCCGGAAGAGCCCCGGGCCAGGGACUGGCUCGCUGGCUCGGUCGGCCAUCUUAGGACACAGAUUUCCCUUAUCAAAAUGACACUUCAGGGGUGCCUGGAUGGCUCAGUUCAUUAGGUGGCUGCCUUUGGCUUGGUCAUGAUCCUGGGGUCCUGGGAUCGAGCCCCGCAUUGGGCUCCCUGCUCGGUGGAGCUUCUCCCUCUCCCUCUGCCUGCCUCACUGCGUACUUGUGCUCUCUAUCUCUCUGUCAAAUAAAUAAAUAAAAUCUUUAAAAAAAAAAUGACUCUUCAAAACAUUUCAAAGAUAAUGUCAUAGAUCAUAUCACAGCAUCACCUUACAGCACAUAAUCAAGAACAUCACAUUAGCCACAUUAUGGGUUUUGGUUUUUUCC